GUGCUAUACAUGCAGUCGAGCGAACAGAUGAGAAGCUUGCUUCUCUGAUGUUAGCGGCGGACGGGUGAGUAACACGUGGGUAACCUACCUAUAAGACUGGGAUAACUCCGGGAAACCGGGGCUAAUACCGGAUAAUAUUUUGAACCGCAUGGUUCAAUAGUGAAAGACGGUUUCGGCUGUCACUUAUAGAUGGACCCGCGCCGUAUUAGCUAGUUGGUAAGGUAACGGCUUACCAAGGCGACGAUACGUAGCCGACCUGAGAGGGUGAUCGGCCACACUGGAACUGAGACACGGUCCAGACUCCUACGGGAGGCAGCAGUAGGGAAUCUUCCGCAAUGGGCGAAAGCCUGACGGAGCAACGCCGCGUGAGUGAUGAAGGUCUUCGGAUCGUAAAACUCUGUUGUUAGGGAAGAACAAAUUUGUUAGUAACUGAACAAGUCUUGACGGUACCUAACCAGAAAGCCACGGCUAACUACGUGCCAGCAGCCGCGGUAAUACGUAGGUGGCAAGCGUUAUCCGGAAUUAUUGGGCGUAAAGCGCGCGUAGGCGGUUUCUUAAGUCUGAUGUGAAAGCCCACGGCUCAACCGUGGAGGGUCAUUGGAAACUGGGAAACUUGAGUGCAGAAGAGGAGAGUGGAAUUCCAUGUGUAGCGGUGAAAUGCGCAGAGAUAUGAGGAACACCAGUGGCGAAGGCGGCUCUCUGGUCUGUAACUGACGCUGAUGUGCGAAAGCGUGGGGAUCAAACAGGAUUAGAUACCCUGGUAGUCCACGCCGUAAACGAUGAGUGCUAAGUGUUAGGGGGUUUCCGCCCCUUAGUGCUGCAGCUAACGCAUUAAGCACUCCGCCUGGGGAGUACGACCGCAAGGUUGAAACUCAAAGGAAUUGACGGGGACCCGCACAAGCGGUGGAGCAUGUGGUUUAAUUCGAAGCAACGCGAAGAACCUUACCAAAUCUUGACAUCCUUUGAYCGCUCUAGAGAUAGAGUCUUCCCCUUCGGGGGACAAAGUGACAGGUGGUGCAUGGUUGUCGUCAGCUCGUGUCGUGAGAUGUUGGGUUAAGUCCCGCAACGAGCGCAACCCUUAAGCUUAGUUGCCAUCAUUAAGUUGGGCACUCUAGGUUGACUGCCGGUGACAAACCGGAGGAAGGUGGGGAUGACGUCAAAUCAUCAUGCCCCUUAUGAUUUGGGCUACACACGUGCUACAAUGGAUAAUACAAAGGGCAGCGAAUCCGCGAGGCCAAGCAAAUCCCAUAAAAUUAUUCUCAGUUCGGAUUGUAGUCUGCAACUCGACUACAUGAAGCUGGAAUCGCUAGUAAUCGUAGAUCAGCAUGCUACGGUGAAUACGUUCCCGGGUCUUGUACACACCGCCCGUCACACCACGAGAGUUUGUAACACCCGAAGCCGGUGGAGUAACCUUUUAGGAGCUAGCCGUCGAACGUG
rnacentral:rRNA from 2 species